AUGCAAUCCAACCGCAACGAUGUAAAAAGUCUCUAACUUUGAAUUAGGUAUAUUUUUCUUCUUUGAUUAUUUAUGAAUUGGGUUAUUUGUGUAUUUAUAGUUGGUAAAACCCUAACACUUAAUUGGGUAUUCAGAUUUCAGAUUUCUUUUAAUAACCCCGCAUAUUCCAUUCAAGUACUUCCAUAAUGCCUUACCCGAGUGCUGGAUUUUUUAUGUGCCACUUAUGAUAAUAAUUUCCUAUUUUGCAGAGAAUAACAGAUUGAAGACAAUAAGAGUUAAAAUUUUGAGUUUCAAUUUUGAUUUCACUUUCUGGAUUUGAAAUGGAUUACUUUGGAGAAUCAAUAUUAUAUUUUAGUUUUAGUUUUGAAUUUCUAAUUUGGAUAAUAUUACUGCUUUUCUGUUUCAGAUACAAUUUUAGAUUGCUUUGGAGAAUGAAUAUUCUGUCUCAGAUGACUAUCAAAUUGAAUUUCGGACUUCAGAGUCAUGGUACCGACCAUUCUCAUCUCCCCGAAAUGAUUGAGUAGGCAUAUCAUAUGAUUCUUAUGUUCGUUGUUUAUGUUUUGCUUGAUUGGGUAUUUACAUACGAGUUUCAUAUGCUAUUUUUCUCUUUUUUUUUUAUUUACGAUCAUGUGAUAGACCAAGUGAAUGAAAGUUUUUCAUUUUAGUAUUUUUUUUUAUAGUUUUGUCAAAAUUACUUCACUAGUCAGAUUUCUUACAUGUUAUUUAGUCCCAUUUCUUUAGUUUAAAAUUGUACCUUUGGAGUAUUA
rnacentral:lncRNA from 1 species